rnacentral:rRNA from 1 species
UCGGGAAUUUUGCCCAAUGGACGAAAGUCUGAGGCAGCAACUCCGCGUGAGGGAUGAAGGCUCUCGGGUCGUAAACCUCUUUUCUCAGGGAAGAUCCAAGACGGUACCUGAGGAAUAAGCGACGGCUAACUACGUGCCAGCAGCCGCGGUAAUACGUAGGUCGCAAGCGUUGUCCGGAUUUACUGGGCGUAAAGAGCGCGCAGGCGGCUGGUCAAGUCCGAUGUGAAAUCUCCCGGCUUAACUGGGAAACUGCAUCGGAAACUGAUCGGCUUGAAGGUGGGAGAGGGUAGUGGAAUUCCCGGUGUAGUGGUGAAAUGCGUAGAUAUCGGGAGGAACACCAGUGGCGAAGGCGACUACCUGGCCCAUUCUUGACGCUGAGGCGCGAAAGCUAGGGGAGCGAACGG